UACGAAGGGGGCUAGCGUUGCUCGGAAUCACUGGGCGUAAAGGGUGCGUAGGCGGGUCUUUAAGUCAGGGGUGAAAUCCUGGAGCUCAACUCCAGAACUGCCUUUGAUACUGAGGAUCUUGAGUUCGGGAGAGGUGAGUGGAACUGCGAGUGUAGAGGUGAAAUUCAUAGAUAUUCGCAAGAACACCAGUGGCGAAGGCGGCUCACUGGCCCGGUACUGACGCUGAGGUGCGAAAGCGUGGGGAGCAAACAGG
rnacentral:rRNA from 1 species